rnacentral:rRNA from 1 species
UGCCAGCCGCCGCGGUAAUACGGAAGGUCCAAGCGUUAAUCGGAAUUACUGGGCGUAAAGCGCGCGUAGGUGGUUUAUUAAGUUGGAUGUGAAAUCCCCGGGCUCAACCUGGGAACUGCAUCCAAAACUGAUUCACUAGAGUACGAUAGAGGGAGGUAGAAUUCACAGUGUAGCGGUGGAAUGCGUAGAUAUUGUGAAGAAUACCAAUGGCGAAGGCAGCCCCCUGGGAUAACACUGACGCUCAUGCACGUAAGCGUGGGGAGCAAACAGGAUUAGAUA